rnacentral:rRNA from 1 species
AGCCUGAGACGUGAUGCGUAGCCGAUUGAGGCGAAUUCAGUGAUCCUAUGCUGCCGAGAAAAGCCUCUAGCGAGCUUUCACACGGCCCGUACCCCAAACCGACACAGGUGGUCAGGUAGAGAAUACUAAGGCGAUCGAGAUAACUGUGGUUAAGGAACUCGGCAAAAUGCCCCCGUAACUUCGGGAGAAGGGGGGCCUCUGCCGGUGACCGGACUUGCUCCGUGAGCUGGUGGGGGCCGCAGAGACCAGAGAGAAGCGACUGUUUACUAAAAACACAGGUCCGUGCGAAGUCGUAAGACGAUGUAUACGGACUGACGCCUGCCCGGUGCUGGAAGGUUAAGAGGACCGGUUAGCCAGUAAUGGCGAAGCUGAGAAUUUAAGCCCCAGUAAACGGCGGUGGUAACUAUAACCAUCCUAAGGUAGCGAAAUUCCUUGUCGGGUAAGUUCCGACCUGCACGAAUGGCGUAACGACUUCUCUGCUGUCUCAACCACAGACUCGGCGAAAUUGCAUUACGAGUAAAGAUGCUCGUUACGCGCGGCAGGACGAAAAGACCCCGGGACCUUCACUAUAGCUUGGUAUUGGUGUUCGGUUCGGUUUGUGUAGGAUAGGUGGGAGACUGUGAAGCAUGCACGCCAGUGUGUGUGGAGUCGUUGUUGAAAUACCACUCUGAUCGUAUUGGACAUCUAACCUCGGACCAUGAUCUGGUUCAGGGACAGUGCCUGGUGGGUAGUUUAACUGGGGCGGUUGCCUCCCAAAAUGUAACGGAGGCGCCCAAAGGUUCCCUCAGCCUGGUUGGCAAUCAGGUGUUGAGUGCAAGUGCACAAGGGAGCUUGACUGUGAGACUGACAGGUCGAGCAGGGACGAAAGUCGGGACUAGUGAUCCGGCACCGGCAAGUGGAAGCGGUGUCGCUCAACGGAUAAAAGGUACCCCGGGGAUAACAGGCUGAUCUUCCCCAAGAGUCCAUAUCGACGGGAUGGUUUGGCACCUCGAUGUCGGCUCGUCGCAUCCUGGGGCUGGAGUAGGUCCCAAGGGUUGGGCUGUUCGCCCAUUAAAGCGGCACGCGAGCUGGGUUUAGAACGUCGUGAGACAGUUCGGUCUCUAUCCGCCGCGCGCGUUAGAAACUUGAGGAAGGCUGUCCCUAGUACGAGAGGACCGGGACGGACGAACCUCUGGUGUGCCAGUUGUUCCGCCAGGAGCACUGCUGGUUAGCUACGUUCGGAAGGGAUAACCGCUGAAAGCAUCUAAGCGGGAAGCCUGUUCCAAGAUGAGGUUUCUCACCCCCUCGAGGGGGUAAGGCCCCCGGCAGACCACCGGGUUGAUAGGCCAGAACUGGAAGUCCGGUAACGGAUGGAGGUGACUGGUACUAAUAGGCCGAGGACUUACCACA